rnacentral:lncRNA from 1 species
CUCCGGGCAGGGAGGGGGCGCGGGGCUGGGGAGGGGCUGAGGACGGGGGUCUCGUCGCCCCCUCGGGAGGGCCUCCCCGUCUCCGCCUCGUCCGGGCCCGAGUGGCCGCCCCAGGAGGCCGAGAGGACGCAGGGGCCUGGGCACUCCCGGGAGGGCACGGACCGCAGGAGGCAGGAGGCAGGAGGCGUCGCCAGGGCGCGGGGUGGGGGGGGGGUCCUCGCAGCGCCCAUCCUCGCAGCCCCCUCAGCCCCCCCACCCCGCAGCCUCUCCGCCCCGCUCCGCCGGGCGCUGCUCCAGGGCCUCCCUCCGGAUCCGGCCUCGGCCCACGCGCGGAAGGUGCUUCCCUGGGGAUCCCCAGCAUCAGCGCCUGCGCCCUGGGGGCACCUUGUCAGCCGCCCCCGACUUUGCAGCCCUCCUGGGACACUUGGAAGCAGGUGAACAAACUUGAGCAGAUACCACCAAGAGGAGCCGCCGAGCAGGAUUGAUGGAGAGACGACAGUUUGGUAAGGCUCCUCUGAGCCUAUAGCGGGGAGCUAUGGACUCAGCCCUGACUUCUCAACUAGGGGGAACAGCCCCAUUCCUGGACCCUUGAAAUUGGCCCCCAAGUGGAGGGAAGUUGACAAAGAAUGGCCUGAAGGAUGGCUGGCCUGGCCCAGGAAGGAGCCCCUACCUGGGGAGGGGGCAGGAUUUUGCUAGAUGCCUGUUGCAGAGAGAGGAUUUAGAAACAAAGGAAGAGAGAAAGAGGUCGAGGAAACAGCACAAAGGACUGGAAAAUUUGAGAAUGACAAAGAUAAAAGACUGGCGAGGGAAGGAGAGAUUUCCAAAACCCUCAGUGCUAGGAGGACGGAGGGCCUCCCGGAGAGUGGGGUGGGGGGAGAGGGGUGACCGUGAAGGCGGUUUGAUAAAGGACAAGAGCAAGAAGCAGAGCUCAUUUGUUUGGGGAGACGAGAAAGGACAGAAGGGAAGGAAAGAGAAUACAAAGGGAUGGAAGGGGAGCUAGGGAGUAAAGGAAGGGAGAGGCGAGAGGGAAGAAAGUAAAAGAGAAACAGAAGGGAGAGAGGGAAGGCGGAGAGGAGGGAGAGGAAGCGGGAAGGUGGGGCAGAAAGAAAGCAAAAGGGGAGAAAGGAGCAAUAAAGGACAGAAAGAGGAAAGAAAGG